CCUACGGGAGGCAGCAGUGGGGAAUUUUGGACAAUGGGGGAAACCCUGAUCCAGCCAUCCCGCGUGAGUGAAGAAGGCCUUCGGGUUGUAAAGCUCUUUCGGAAGUGAAGAAAACUUAUUUCGUAAUAUGUUAUAAGAAUGACGGUAACUUUAGAAGAAGCACCGGCUAACUACGUGCCAGCAGCCGCGGUAAUACGAAAGGUGCAAGCGUUAAUCGGAAUUACUGGGCGUAAAGCGUGCGCAGGCGGUUUUGUAAGUCAGAUGUGAAAUCCCCGAGCUUAACUUGGGAACUGCGUUUGAAACUACAAGACUAGAGUGUGUCAGAGGGGGGUAGAAUUCCACGUGUAGCAGUGAAAUGCGUAGAGAUGUGGAGGAAUAUCAAUGGCGAAGGCAGCCCCCUGGGAUAACACUGACGCUCAUGCACGAAAGCGUGGGGAGCGAACAGGAUUAGAUACCCUGGUAGUCCACGCCCUAAACGAUGUCAACUAGUUGUUGGUGGAGUAAGAUCCAUGAGUAACGUAGCUAACGCGUGAAGUUGACCGCCUGGGGAGUACGGUCGCAAGAUUAAAACUCAAAGGAAUUGACGGA
rnacentral:rRNA from 1 species